AGAAUACUCAUUUAUUUGAAUCAUGAAUAGCAAAGACUUUGUUAUCAGUAUGCUUGUAGUAUCAUUGAUAGUUGUAUUAGUACAAACAAUCAGAUAUGCAUCAUUCUAGUGCAAAACUACAAAUGUGUGUCUCAGUCUGUUACAUUCAUAGUACUUGUAAUAAGAUCAAUAUAAGAAACACCUAUGUAACACUUGUACUGUUUCCCAGUUUGACACCGCCUUUGAUCAAUCAACCCCAAACUAGUACUAGCUCAUUUUCAGUAUUCAUCACUUAAACCAGAUCGAUUGAUCGUUUGCUGAACCAGAUCCAGUGUUGUUCACAUACUCAAUCAGACGGGUUGGCUUUACUGCAGUUGAAACAGAAACAAUGGUGUCGUUUUCAGUCCAUGGAUUGUGGAUGAAGGCAGUUACUCUUCCAUUUCUGCUUCUCAUCAUCAGCUGAGUUUGAUUCACAUAUUCAACCACAUGAAUAGGCUUCACUGCAGU
rnacentral:lncRNA from 1 species